rnacentral:rRNA from 1 species
UGGGGAAUAUUGGACAAUGGGGGGCAACCCUGAUCCAGCCAUGCCGCGUGAGUGAUGAAGGCCCUUCGGGCUGUAAAGCUCUUUUGGCGGGGACGAUGAUGACGGUACCCGCAGAAUAAGCCCCGGCUAACUUCGUGCCAGCAGCCGCGGUAAGACGAAGGGGGCUAGCGUUGUUCGGAAUUACUGGGCGUAAAGCGAGUGUAGGCGGUUGCCGUAGUCAGGUGUGAAAGCCUUGAGCUCAACUCAAGAAAUGCACUUGAUACUGGGUGACUAGAGGACCGGAGAGGAUAGUGGAAUUCCCAGUGUAGUGGUGAAAUACGUAGAGAUUGGGAAGAACACCAGUGGCGAAGGCGGCUAUCUGGACGGUUACUGACGCUAGACUCGAAAGCGUGGGGAGCAAACAGGAUUAGAUACCCUGGUAGUCCACGCCGUAAACGAUGGGUGCUAGACGUUGGCGAGCUUGCUCGUCAGUGUCGCAGCUAACGCGUUAAGCACCCCGCCUGGGGAGUACGGCCGCAAGGUUG